CCCGCCGGACCUGACUGCUAUCGGAUUGAUACUAAGCCAUGCGAGUCAUUGUAGCAAUACAAGGCAGACGGCUCAGUAACGCGUAGUCAACCUAACCUAUGGACGGGAAUAACCUCGGGAAACUGAGAAUAAUGCCCGAUAGAACACUAUGCCUGGAAUGGUUUGUGUUCCAAAUGAUUUAUCGCCGUAGGAUGGGACUGCGGCCUAUCAGUUUGUUGGUGAGGUAAUGGCCCACCAAGACUAUUACAGGUACGGGCUCUGAGAGGAGUAGCCCGGAGAUGGGUACUGAGACACGGACCCAGGCCCUAUGGGGCGCAGCAGGCGAGAAAACUUUGCAAUGUGCGAAAGCACGACAAGGUUAAUCCGAGUGGUUUCUGCUAAAGGAACCUUUUGUCGGUCCUAGAAACACCGAUGAAUAAGGGGUGGGCAAGUUCUGGUGUCAGCCGCCGCGGUAAAACCAGCACCUCAAGUGGUCAGGAUGAUUAUUGGGCCUAAAGCAUCCGUAGCCUGCUUUGUUAGUUUUCGGUUAAAUCUAUACGCUCAACGUAUAGGCUGCCGGGAAUACUGCAAAGCUAGGGAGUGGGAGAGGUAGACGGUACUCGGUAGGAAGGGGUAAAAUCCUUUGAUCUAUUGAUGACCACCUGUGGCGAAGGCGGUCUACCAGAACACGUCCGACGGUGAGGGAUGAAAGCUGGGGGAGCAAACCGGAUUAGAUACCCGGGUAGUCCCAGCCGUAAACCAUGCAAACUCAGUGAUGCAUUGGCUUGUGGCCAAUGCAGUGCUGCAGGGAAGCCGUUAAGUUUGCCGCCUGGGAAGUACGUACGCAAGUAUGAAACUUAAAGGAAUUGGCGGGGGAGCGCCACAA
rnacentral:rRNA from 1 species